rnacentral:lncRNA from 1 species
GUAGAAUUACUGUUGGGAAGUAACUAUGGCAUUAAGGUCUUCCAAGAAGCAGAUGCCAAGAUGGGCUCAAAUGUGCAAGAUAUUUAUGGAAAACCACCUAUGAAGGACAAAGGAACAGAGAACAAGAGCCUUCCCCCAUGUCUAAUACCUGUGAAAGGAGAGAGAGAAGGAAGAAUUUAGUAGGAAGAGCCUGAGGUUGCUGCUUAGUUCUGAGAAAGCCUCAGCGAGGCCGAUGGAGAGCCCUUGAGCUGAGGUUGCCCAUUAGACAAAUUCUGCAUCAGAUGAGGGAAGGAAUCAUAAUUGGCUAACAAGAGGAGAUACAUUUGACUAUGUUAAGAGAACUGGAGGACCUCCACCAAGAUCUUGUGAUUGACAUCAUGUCUGGAUGCAGCUGCUUAUAAUCCACAGCCUCUGAAUAUAAAGACAGGUUAUGUCCCCGAAACACAAAAGAUACAAUGAUGAAGAGGAAUAAAACGACUACAACAAACACUUCCACUCAAAAAAGGGACAUAACAGAAGGGCCUUCAGAUAAGGUUCAAAUUGUCCAACAUGGUCUACAAAGCUCUCUACUGUUCCAGGAGCACUCAAGGGGGAAGGACAGGAAAUCCAGGUGCUGAUCAGAAACCCACAAAUAUCUGCCAGGCUGGCAACAGACCCUAAAGAGAGAGAUUAACAAAAAACAGUUGAGGAGCAAGCUAAAUUCCUACAGGCAAUAGUGGGACCAGAGCUCAUAGGCUGGCACCAAUAGUACAGUUUGGUCCCAAGGAGAAGCAGCAAGGCCAUGCAGGGAAUCACAUAAACAGAUCAGAAACUGAAGUUUGGCUUGCUGACGUGACUUGCUCAAGGUCACAUAGCUACGAAUUGUAGACCUAGAACUAAAAACAUCCUGGCUCCUUGUCUAGUUUUUAUUGCUCUAUCCCAGGUUGUCUAGCUUAACUAACUCUUGCUUCAUGGAGCUUGUAGGAAAGGAUGCCCUGCAAAUGCAGGACGUAAGCAUCUGGGGAAUAUAUCCAAUCAUUCUUGCA